rnacentral:rRNA from 1 species
AGAGUUUGAUCAUGGCUCAGGAUGAACGCUAGCGGCAGGCUUAAUACAUGCAAGUCGAGGGGCAGCGUGAUUGUAGCAAUACAAUUGAUGGCGACCGGCAAACGGGUGCGGAACACGUACACAACCUUCCAACAAGUGGGGGAUAGCCCAGAGAAAUUUGGAUUAAUACCCCGUAACAUAGCGAUGUGGCAUCACAUUGCUAUUAUAGAUUUUUCGCUUGUUGAUGGGUGUGCGGCUGAUUAGAUAGUUGGCGGGGUAACGGCCCACCAAGUCUACGAUCAGUAGCUGAUGUGAGAGCAUGAUCAGCCACACGGGCACUGAGACACGGGCCCGACUCCUACGGGAGGCAGCAGUAAGGAAUAUUGGACAAUGGACGCAAGUCUGAUCCAGCCAUGCCGCGUGAAGGAUUAAGGUCCUCUGGAUUGUAAACUUCUUUUAUAAGGGACGAAAAAAGGCUUUUCUAAGUCGUCUGACGGUACCUUAUGAAUAAGCACCGGCUAACUCCGUGCCAGCAGCCGCGGUAAUACGGAGGGUGCAAGCGUUAUCCGGAUUCACUGGGUUUAAAGGGUGCGUAGGCGGGCAGGUAAGUCAGUGGUGAAAUCCUAGAGCUUAACUCUAGAACUGCCAUUGAUACUAUCUGUCUUGAAUAUUGUGGAGGUAAGCGGAAUAUGUCAUGUAGCGGUGAAAUGCUUAGAUAUGACAUAGAACACCUAUUGCGAAGGCAGCUUACUACGCAUAUAUUGACGCUGAGGCACGAAAGCGUGGGGAUCAAACAGGAUUAGAUACCCCGGUAGUCCAA